GACGAACGCUGGCGGCGUGCCUAAUACAUGCAAGUCGAACGCACUCUCGUUUAGAUUGAAGGAGCUUGCUCCUGAUUGAUAAACAUUUGAGUGAGUGGCGGACGGGUGAGUAACACGUGGGUAACCUGCCCUAAAGUGGGGGAUAACAUUUGGAAACAGAUGCUAAUACCGCAUAAAACCUAACACCGCAUGGUGUAGGGUUGAAAGAUGGUUUCGGCUAUCACUUUAGGAUGGACCCGCGGUGCAUUAGUUAGUUGGUGAGGUAAAAGGGCUUCACCAAGACCGUGAUGCAUAGCCGACCUGAGAGGGUAAUCGGCCACACUGGGACUGAGACACGGCCCAGACUCCUACGGGAGGCAGCAGUAGGGAAUCUUCCACAAUGGACGAAAGUCUGAUGGAGCAACGCCGCGUGAGUGAAGAAGGUUUUCGGAUCGUAAAACUCUGUUGUUGGAGAAGAAUGCAUCUGAUAGUAACUGAUCAGGUAGUGACGGUAUCCAACCAGAAAGCC
rnacentral:rRNA from 1 species